rnacentral:lncRNA from 1 species
UAGAAAUAGCAUUCGUAUGCAUUCUAAUGUUAUUAGAAAUUUUUUCGCUAUUUUUACAGAUUUUUUUUUAAAAAUUUUGUUAAUGUAUGCAAUUUUUGAUAUAGGAAAAUGGCGUUUUUGCUCGUAUUGGUGUUGUUGGUGCUAAUGGCUGGGAGACGGAGCCGUAGCAGUGGUAGAAGUCGUCAUGGGGUUUCUAAAAGGA